ACUUACAGAUUAGGAGCUUCAUUGUCCUAAGGAUGUCAAUUUUCCCCAAAUUGAUCAAUAUAAUUUUUUUUUUGUAGGACAAACGAAUUCUAAAAUUUAUAUUGGAAAAUAAAAGGUUAAGAAUAGCCUGAAGAAGAAUAAGCACAGGCGGCUCGAUGAAGCGGGAACCAAGGUUGGUGACGAUGAAGGAGGUCACGCAGAAGGCCACGCGGUCCUGGCGCAGGGAGCGGACGAUCAGCAUCCGUUGCAUUUCAUUGCAGGCAUUUUCCCACUCACCUGGGGACGAGGCACUCUGCUAGGUCCUGAAGACACAAAGAAGAAUAAGCCGCAGUCUCGGAGAGGACAGAGAGGCUAUUGGUUAUGAUGUCGCUGCCUGCUGGACUCAGGGAAAGUUUCCGAGAGGAGCUGCUCCAGAGAGGAGCUGCAGCAGAGUUUUCUGGUGGCAUGGGAGAGGCAGAGAGGUCACAGCAUCAGCAAAAGCAUGAGAUGGGCACAGCAUGCAGGGCAGUCAGGGAUGCUCAGGCACCCAGUGCAAGGUGGGAAAGGUGAGGCUGAGGCAGGAGAAGGCCAGGUCAUGAGGGCUUUCGUGGGCCACUGGGAUCAAGCAACCAACCACUGGCAGUCAGACCCGGGAAGCAGCAUGGUCGGAUUUGCUCAGGUGGGCAAUGCAGGAGGGUAGGUUGAGAGGGACAGUGGGUAGAGGCAGGAGGACCUCUAGGAGACCAUUGUGCAACUCAGAAAAAAGGAUCACCAGGGCCAGAGCUAAAGUACAGCCAAGCAGUGGGAAGAUGGGGAGGGAACAGUUUGCAGAAAUAUUCAUGAACAAAACCCGGUGAGUGCUUUGAAAGGGAAGAGUCAAGGAUAGCUCCCAGUUUUUGCCAGGCAUGGUGGCUCACGCCUGUAAUCCCAACACUGUGGGAGACCAUGGCAGGAG